rnacentral:rRNA from 1 species
UACGAAGGGGGCUAGCGUUGUUCGGAAUUACUGGGCGUAAAGCGCACGUAGGCGGGUAUUUAAGUCAGGGGUGAAAUCCCAGAGCUCAACUCUGGAACUGCCUUUGAUACUGGGUACCUAGAGUAUGGAAGAGGUGAGUGGAAUUCCGAGUGUAGAGGUGAAAUUCGUAGAUAUUCGGAGGAACACCAGUGGCGAAGGCGGCCAUCACUGGUCCAUUACUGACGCUGAGGUGCGAAAGCGUGGGGAGCAAACAGG